CAGGGGAGAUUUAAGGGAGAGGUUAUUUCCCCACCGUGUUCAGGGACAACCCUGUGAUCAUGGUUUUGGUCACAUAGCUUCCAACAAGCCCCCCCCCACCUCUGAGGAUGCACCCCAAAGCUAGAGAAUUCCUGCUCUGAGCCAUCUCUGAAAGCACCAAGAGCCAGCUCACGGAGGAGAUGCCAGCUCACGGAGGAAAAUCUGGAAGGUGUUGAAGCAUAGACGCUGGAACAUAAAAUGACUCAUGAUCUCACUGGGAGAAGGGCUGGGAACAUCGUGGGCUCUCUUCUCCCCGCGCUCCUCUCUCCGGGUCUCUGUUUCCCUCAUUCCACGAUGUUUAGAACCAUCGGCGCACUACAUCAGACUAGAGGUCUGGGGUCACCCGACCAUCCCGCCACAAGCCCCUCCGAGGCAUCACUGUGUCCAGAUUUUGCAAACUGCACCUCCUGAAGGGGCUGGGGUCUGUCCACUUCGCCCCAUCUGCCGUGGCAGCACUUCCUCCGUGGUUCGCACCCCCACAGCAGCCUCCUGGGAAGGCACCUCCCUGGGGCCCCUCUCAGUCCACGGUGUGGAUAUGGUGAGUUCUUAAACCAUGAACUUCUGAUUUCACAGCUCUGCUUGAAGCCUUCAAUGUCAGGCUUCCUGUUGCUCUUAAGAUAAUGAUCAAAACUCUCAACAAAGUUCCCCUGAUAAAUGCUCUCAACGUGCCCCCCACCACAGCAUCCCUAACUGUAAUGAAUACAUCAUUGGUCCUCACGGCAGCGGAUUAAUCGUCUGUGAGUGUUGGUUUAAUCUUUCUCUUCUGGAGUUUAGCUGUCACUGCCAUAUCCCCAGCACGGAGCACAAUGACAUGUUUAUAUGUAGAAAAUUGAGCGAAAAAUAAAAACAGCUAACAUUUGGGUACUUAUUAUCUUCCAGGCAGCAAGCUAUGCAUUUUGCAUAUAUUAGCAAAUCCAUGAGGCAGGUGCUGUCUUCAUUGUACAGGUGAGGAGCCUGAAGCUCAGAGAGGUGAAGGAACAUCCUCAAGGCCACGCUCUGAAAUCAACAAAAGAUACAUCAGUUUAUUGUGGGAAACAUCAGAACAUGCAGAGAUAUUAACAAAGAGAAGUCACUCAGAGAUGACUGUCAUUAACAUUUUGGUGUAUUUCUUCGUAGACAUUUUCCUAUGUCUCUGCAUAGUAACAUACUGUCCAGAGUGCUUGUAAUCUGCUAGACGGUUUGAUGAGACCAAGUUUUCAUGGUAUUAGCCACGGCAAUAUUUGUAUUCAUAUUUUAGGGUAUGGCUGAACUGAAAUUUGCUUUUGCUCAACUCAGCCCCUCUUGUGAACAUUAGGCACUUUGCACUUCACCUGCUGAAAACGUGGUAGUCAUAAACACGCUGGUAGCUCAAUCGUCCCACCUAUCUUUACUAUGUUAUUCAUUCCUAGCAGUGGGGCCUGGGUCAAAAGUUCUGCAGGGUUUUAAGGCUUUGGAUCAGUGGUUCGGGAUUGUCCUCUGGGACGGGCUGAGAAGCACACAUGCCUGCCGGUGGUGACAAGCAUUCCUUCCUAGUGCAGAGUCAGGUCUGCACCUGGCACCCCCUACCCAUCCAGGUUGGGUCCCUGGCAUUCAGUUAUGUGGAACAGACCAGAAAAAUUAAAAAAGAACCCCCUCCCGCAUCUUCCCCGAAGGACCACUGGCCUGCUGUCUCUCCCCGCACUCCCCCACUGGAGUUCAUACCCACUGAAUCACGACCCCCUUGUGGCUAAGCCCUGGUGCGCCACCCUGCAAAAUCAAAGGUGGUGUCUAGGCACAGAAAUGGCUCCGUGACCUAUGUCCCCUUUGUUCUAAUCUAGAAUCCAGCCAGGAGUAUGCGUGUCAGAAGCCAGGGGUGAUUGUGUUUUUUCUCCUUCCUCUUUCUUUAGGUCAGGAAGAUUCCUGCAGCUGCUGAGUUAGUACUUUUAAGAAAGUACUGGAUUCCCUCUCACAAUGGGACUUUGAUUUUUUUAAGAAAAAGGUUUCAUAAGUUUUCAAAUAACCUGGAGCAGUUGAGCAAACUUAAUGUGCAGCGUGGUCCCUGCUGGCUGGGUUUGAGGGGCUGGGUCUCUCUGAGUGGAUGCUGGUGAGGUGCAGAGGAAGAAGAAAAGGUGCCUGAGGGCCUGUGUGGAAGGCCUGUCACACAGCACAUCCUGGGAAAUCUGUCCAGGAAGCAGCCAGGCGGGCAUCAGCCAGGCGGGCAUCAGCAUCUUCACUGUGCAGAUGAGAAACUGAGGCCGCAGAGGUGAAGGGACAUGCCCAGGAUCACUAAGGCAAGACGGGGGAAGAGCAGAGAUCUUGGGCAUGAUCUCGGCUCACUGCAACCUCCACCUCCCAGGUUCAAGGGAUUCUCCUGCUUCAGCCU
rnacentral:lncRNA from 1 species